GGAGCUUUCUGGAACGCCGCCGCGAGUCAUGCAGCACCAGUGCCUCCUCUCACUGGCAGCACAUGCAGCAUUCGUCUUGACAACCAUUUGACAACGUAGUCCGUGAACCGGUGUCCCGUAGCGACUUCGUCGUGACUGCCUCAGAGAACGUCUAGUACUGCCUUUGCUUGAUUGACGGACGUCGAGGGCGAAACAGAGCGAAGGUGCUGCCUUGCCACAAGUGAAAAGUCCGUGAGGCCGGCCUGAGGGUGGCUCUGACAUGAGGCUCCCUUGUCGCCUAUGUCCAGGUGAUGCAAGCCAGAAAGACCAUUACAUGAAGCAAUGAUGGGCGAACAUAUAUAUGGAGAACGAACGAAGUGAUUGUGCGAGCAGGCCAAGUCAGAAAGUUGCAAGGAAGCUAUUAUUGCAAUGAAACCAGCCACCGCCGCCUCUAGCACCAUCCAGUUCCCGUGC
rnacentral:lncRNA from 1 species